rnacentral:rRNA from 1 species
UACGGAGGGUGCAAGCGUUACUCGGAAUCACUGGGCGUAAAGGGCGCGUAGGCGGCCUAGCAAGUCUGGUGUGAAAGCCCAGGGCUCAACCCUGGAAGGGCACUGGAAACUGUUAGGCUUGAGUUCCGGAGAGGAGGGGGGAAUUCCCGGUGUAGCGGUGAAAUGCGUAGAUAUCGGGAGGAAUACCGGUGGCGAAGGCAGCUCCCUGGCCUGUCUCUGACGCUCAGGUACGAAAGCGUGGGGAGCAAACAGG